UAGCAAAGAAGUAAAUUUACACUUAAUUUCGACUUAAGACUUAGAGAAUUAUUCUCCAUGCUAA
rnacentral:tRNA from 1 species